rnacentral:rRNA from 1 species
AGAGUUUGAUCCUGGCUCAGGAUGAACGCUGGCGGCGUGCCUAACACAUGCAAGUCGAGCGAGAAGCCAUAAAAGGACACUUCGGUAGAAUUAUAUGGCGGAAAGCGGCGGACGGGUGAGUAACGCGUGGGAAACCUGCCUUUCACAGAGGGAUAGCCGAAGGAAACUACGAUUAAUACCUCAUAAAGCAAAAGCUUCGCAUGAAGCGAUUGCCAAAGAAUUAUCGGUGAAAGAUGGUCCCGCGUCUGAUUAGUUAGUUGGUAAGGUAGCGGCUUACCAAGGCGACGAUCAGUAGCCGGCCUGAGAGGGUGAACGGCCACAUUGGAACUGAGACACGGUCCAGACUCCUACGGGAGGCAGCAGUGGGGGAUAUUGCACAAUGGGCGAAAGCCUGAUGCAGCAACGCCGCGUGAAGGAAGAAGGCUUUCGAGUCGUAAACUUCUGUCCAAAGGGAAGAACAAAUGACGGUACCUUUGAAGAAAGCCCCGGCUAACUACGUGCCAGCAGCCGCGGUAAUACGUAGGGGGCGAGCGUUAUCCGGAAUUACUGGGCGUAAAGAGUAUGUAGGUGGUUUAGCAAGCGUAGGGUUUAAGGCGACAGCCCAACUGUCGUAUGCCCCGCGAACUGUUAAACUUGAGUACAGGAGGGGAAGGCGGAAUUCCUAGUGUAGCGGUGAAAUGCGUAGAUAUUAGGAGGAACACCGGUGGCGAAGGCGGCCUUCUGGACUGUAACUGACACUGAGAUACGAAAGCGUGGGUAGCAAACAGGAUUAGAUACCCUGGUAGUCCACGCCGUAAACGAUGAGCACUAGGUGUCGGGCUCGAAUGAGUUCGGUGCCGCAGCAAACGCAAUAAGUGCUCCGCCUGGGGAGUACGCACGCAAGUGUGAAACUCAAAGGAAUUGACGGGGACCCGCACAAGCAGCGGAGCAUGUGGUUUAAUUCGAAGCAACGCGAAGAACCUUACCAG